UCUUGGUUCAAUUAGAGGAAGUAAAAGUCGUAACAAGKUUUCCGCUAGGUGAACYKGCSGRAGGAUCAUUACAGUAUUAUAUAAGACUUGGAGGGACGUGUUGGAUGCUGGCCCGUGAGGGCAUGUGCGCGCACGUCUCGAGUAUAUUACUUACACCUGUGCACCUAUGGCGAGCGCCUUCCGUUUGGAGCCGUUUGAAUGCCAAAACCCUUUUUGGAGGGGGAGGUGAUUAGACCGAGGCGCUCCCUCUUUUCGAUUACCAUUUCGGCCUGUUYGAACGCAUGUUAUUGAGCUUUAUGGGAUAUGUAUAACUUUCAACAACGGAUCUCUUGGCUUUCGCAUCGAUGAAGAACGCCGCGAAAGUGCGAAACGUAAUGUGAAUUGCAGAAUUCAGUGAAUCAUCGAAUCUUUGAACGCAUCUUGCGCUCCUUGGUAUUCCGAGGAGCAUGCCUGUUUGAGUGUCGUGAAUCCUCUCGAUCCUCCUCUCUUUGAGGAGGGUUGGAUUUGGACGCUUGCGACGGUCUCUGGCCCGUCGCUCGUCUUUAAACGCAUUAGCUUGGCCUCUGGAGUCGGUUAGAUGACGGUGUGAUAAUAGUAACGUCGGCGCCGUUUUUGUCCGAUUCUAAUACGAGGUUAGCUUCUAACCGGAUCGACUUUGCAUCUGACCUCAAAUCAGGUAGGACUACCCSCUGAACUUAAGCAUAUCANUAAGNCGGAGGAAAAA
rnacentral:rRNA from 1 species